GGGAAUUUACUCCAGAGAGUCGUGACCCAGGAGGAGUCACGGCGCGCGCAAAGGGAGGUUCCACCGAAACAAAUCCGAAUCACCUUCCUUCUCCCUGUUGGAUUCUUCUUCGUCUUUUUUUUUUGCUUCUUUCCUUUUUUUUGCACUUUCCUUUUUUUUUGAUUGAUUUCAAUCUUUUUUUUUUUUGACAGGGGAGGGGCGAUCAGAGUAGUGGGAUGGCGCGGCGCGGUUGUCGCGGGGGAAGGUGCGGUGGGCGCGGCUGGUAGGGUUGGCGAGUAGCGGAACGGCGGCGGCGGCGAAAACUAGGGUUAGAUGAAAAACGAGAAACAAGAGAUUAAACACAAGUAACCAGCAACAAUUGAACGAGUAGGCACACAAAUUCAACAAAGACACUUAUUGAAAGAAUGUGCGAGGCUAAACGGUUGCUGGGACAAAGGAUCUAACCUGAAAAAAAUUUGUUUUGGUUUUUUGUGGACUGUAGGAAGGGAAAAACACUCGGUAAAACUCACCGAUCAACCUAGAAAGCUGAUACCACUUGAUAGAGUCGGAGUGCCCGAUCUUUCGGUGAGUGGAGAUAAAUUCGACUUGGUGGAAGUAGACCCUCACGAUCCGACUACGACGAGCGAACCCGAAGCGCCAAUGCAAUCGCUGAACCAACUCCCGAUGGUUACCAACCUCGCCGGUGCGAGAUCAGCC
rnacentral:lncRNA from 1 species